rnacentral:rRNA from 1 species
AAUCCUCUUCUAUUAUUCCAUGCAAAAACAUUCAAGCGAAACGCCUGUUUAGAGCACUCUGAUUUGUUCAAAGUAAACUUGCAGCACCGGACAUCCGCGCACCAGUGAAGGGCGUGGAGCCGAACACUGCAGGAAAGCCAGUGCUGAGACCAGUACACGUCCGAAGACGGACCGGCACACCGGCACAGAUCCAACUACGAGCUUUUUAACCGCAGCAAUAAUUCUAUGCAUUUUGAGAGCUGGAAUUACCGCGGCUGCUGGCACCAGACUUGCCCUCUCAUAGAUACUCGUUAAAGGGUUUAAAUUGUACCCAUUCCGAUGGCAGGCCUCUGAAGAGAACUGCCUCGUUAUUUCUCGUCACUACCUCCUCUGAAUUCUGAGAGUGGGUAAUUUGCGCGCCUGCUGCCAUCCUUAGACGUAGUGGCCA